CUACGACGGACCCGCUCUGAGGACCAUCCUUGAGUGUCCUCUCGUCUCCCUCCCGCAACCCCCAGCCCCACCCUCGCCGGUGACCUCCUCCGCCAUGGCCUCGCCGGACACCUCCCCUCCCCACCCCCGCCGGCGACCUCCUCCCUCUACCACGUCAUCUCCUUCUCUCCACUUCGAAACCCUAGCUCGACGCCAUGGCGACGCGCGCAGGAGGAGCCCGGCCAUGGCGACACGGAUCUGGAAGGACGCCAUGGACAACAAGCCAGAUCCCAUGGCGGCCUCGCACGCACCACAGCGCUGGAGGAACCCAGACACGCGCGGCGACAACUGAUCUGAUCUGAUCCAGUGGAGCAAGGUCGCCAUGGACCUUCCUUACUCCGCGUCUUGUCAUGUGCUGCUGCCCAGGACGCCAUGGACCUCCCGUUGCCUCUCCUAGCUCAUCAAGCUUCUUCUACCCCGAGAUUUGAUUGACUUGCAGCAACAACAGGAUUCCAUGCCCAUGGGUACCUAUAGCAGCACAGAGAGGGCCAACAACAGCAGCACAGAGUUUGUGCUCUAUCUGUAUGCAAGCGGGAGGGAGAAAUGCACUACGUUGUAAUGAGAUUGCAACUAAUUUACUCAUCAUUAGUUAAAGGAGUGAGGGAAGACCAGCUAGUACUUACGGAGGCACCCCUCACAUAGGCCAUUGAUUUGCAUCCGAUGACGAAGAGCUUGCUGUCCUUGUCCGAGAACCAGUAGGGCAACUGUGUCAUGUUCACCCACGCACGACUGUAUGAAGUGUUGCCGUUGGCCGGGUUGUAGCACCCGGUGCUGAUCAGAAACCUGACCCGGACUCUGCUCUCCUCUACGGAAAUCCCCAUCACCGGGAGGGUUCGGCCGACGGUCCUGUUGCCAUCUGCGGUCAAGUUGCAGCCGAGUGCGAAGCCGCUAUGGAUGGCGCAAGGCUCCCUGAUGCCGAACUGGUACGGGAUGUCCAUGUCCCUGCACCUCGUCUGGCAGUCUGUUGCGCCCUAGCCACCCUUGGUGCAGCUCAUUUUGGCCCAUCGUCCGCCGCCACCAACAGGGCAAGGCAGAGCAGAAGAAAAGGUGGCCGGAGACCAACUAGAAGAUGCGUGCAGUUGGCCAUCGACACCUUCAACAACACCAGCGACAUGGGUACACUCUGUGUUUUCCUCUGUUAUGUAAUGCGUCUCACCAUUGAUUUCGACUUGGGCUCACCAACCAUUGGUUUCCUUCUUGUGCAGCAGCAGCAGUAGGAUUCCAUGAAGUAAUAAGGCUGUACAUGAUUGAUGUGGACCGAAGAAAUUUGGAUCUGAAAAUAAGAAACGAAAUGGCUGGGCGUGGGAUGGAAUGAUUUUUGAUCUCCGAAGUGCCCUGCCCUGUGUAUAACUGCAGCAUCCUUUUGGCACAAGUAUUUGAUCCCUCUAUACUUGUGCCGCGUGCAGUGUCGAGUAGCUAACCGUGAGCACCACGACGACUGCUCUUCGCCAGCACCAGCAGCGCCAUGGGCAGUGAAGGUCAGCAGUUGACCAUGGCCAGCCAUCUCGGGCGAACUCACGCCCCUGCACCACCACGUCAGCAGCUUCAAUCAAGAUUUUUAAUUUAAAAGACCGAGUCAUGCUCAUGGGAAUUUUCGCAACAUCGCAGCUUCCAUAAGAAUGUUCUAAAGGUUCCCCAUGGGUACUAGAUACCGCAUCAGCUACAAAUACCUCCACACUGAUAAGCAUAUUUCUCUGGUAUUGUUUACGAAUUACCGCCUCAGUCAUGCAUAGGACCAAUAUCUCCUAAAAGUAAUGAUUUUUAUUUCCUUGCGAUAAAUGUAGCUUUUUGUGAGGUAUUAAUUGGUGUGCUCCAUGCUUUUGCUGGAAUCAUUCUCAGUUUAGUAAUAUGCUUUCAACUUUUUGCCAAUCGAGAGAUAUCUCUUUGGUGUCAAGAGUGUAGUUAUAUUGGAGAGCAAUCUUGCCUGGCCUGAUAUUAUUCUGUUAUAGAAUUAGUAGAACUUGAAACACCAAUAGUAAUGCUUUGAGCUUUGUAGGUUGAUGUUUUCUCUGAAUUAAAUCUACCUGUCAAUCUCUUAUGCAUAGGACUAAAUCUUUACCGCCCCAGUCAUAUGCAUAGGACUAAGAUAUCCUAAAAAGUGCCAAUUAAUGAUUUUUUAUUUCCUUGCGAUAGCUCGGGCUUUCUGUGAAGUAUGGGUGCAUUUCAUGCCAGGCACCACCCAAUCAGCAUACGUCCUUAUCGGCACUCCCCAGAAAUGAAGGAUGGUAUUGAAAAGCAAGUGGAGGAACUAUUGGCAUCCUAAAUCAUUCAACACUCCACUAGUCCAUUUUGCUUCUCCUGCCAUUUUGCUGCGCAAGAAGGAUGGCCAUUGGUGUCUUUGCAUCGAUUACCGCCGGCUCAAUGCGCUGACAAUGACACCCAAGUUUCCAUUGCCGGUCAUCGAUGAGUUGAUUGAUGAAUUGUCAGGAGCAAGCUAGUUCUCAAAAUUGGAUCUUCGCGCUAGGUACCAUCAAAUCCGUCUAGCGGAGGGGGAAGAAUAUAAUACGGCAUUUCAAACCCACUCUGGCUUACGAGUUCAAGGUGCUUACUUUUGGAGUUGCGAGUGGCCCAGCCACGUUCCAAGGUGCCAUGAAUCAUACUUUGAAACCAGUUGCGCGAGUAUGUGCUCUUGUGUUCUUUGGCGACAUUUCAAUGUUCUCUAAGUCAUUUUUUGACCACAUCCAAGACCUCACUCAAGUGUUGCAACUAUUGCGAGCUAACCAAUGGAAAACUAUAAUGUCCAAAUGUUCAUUUGCACAGUGGGAAUUAUCCUACUUGGGCUUUGUCAUCAGCGAGCAAGGGAUUUCAACUAAACCAAAAAAGAUUUUGCGCGUCCAACAAUGGCCACUGCCACACUUAGUUAAGAAACUUUGGCAGUUCUUAGGUCUUUCUGCAUACUAUCGCAAAUUGUUCGACAUUAUGGCAUCAUUGCUAAACCAUUGACCCAAUUGCUUAAGAAGAACGCUCCUUUUGUGUGGACUAGGGAGUGCACAACAGCGUUUGAGGCUUUCAAGCAGGCAUUGGUUACAACCCCCAUCCUGGCCUUGCCGAAUUUCAGUAAACAGUUCACCAUUGAGACCGACGCUACCGAUUAUGGCGUUAGCGCAGUCCUGCAGCAAGACAGGCACCCAUUGGCCUUCCCGAGCAAGCCACUGGGACAGCGCAACAAGGGGCUUUCCACGUAUUAAAAGGAAUUGUUGGCAAUCUUGUUAGCUGUUGAACAAUGGCGGCAAUAUCUGCAAUCUGCUGAGUUCGUGAUCAAGACCGCCUAGUGCAGCCUAGUUCACCUUGAGGACCAGCGUUUGCACAGCCCGUGGCAACAGAAAGCGUUCACUAAGCUCUUGGGACUGUGCUAUCGAAAAGGGUCUCCCAAUGGUGUGGCGGAUGCCCUCUCCCGAUGCCCAAUCUGCGUCACUGAUUAGCCGUAUGCUAUAUCCCUCUGUUAGCCAAAAUGGCUUGAUGAAGUGCGCCAAGGCUACCUCUAUGACCCAGCUACGCAUAAAAUCAUUGAUGACUUGCAGUUGACCCCCAAUCACAUCAACACUUUGAAUAUGCAGAUGGUCUGUUGCACUAUCAGGGCAGAGUUUGGAUUGGCCACCUUUCCAUGCAACAUCAGCUGCUCCUCGCUGGGCAUCAAUCUGCCAUCGGUGGUCAUUCUAGGGCUCCAGCUACUUACCAGCUCUUGAAAGUUGUGUGUGUGUGGCCUCGCAUGAAGCAUGUGGUGACUGACUUUGUCCAAUCCUACACCAUGUGCCAGCAAGCCAAACCGAAAACGAUGCAAAUAUCCAGGGCUGCUUGAAACUCUUCAUGUACCAGUUCGUGCUUGGCAGAUGCUAUCAAUGGAUUUUAUCAAAGGGUUGCCCCAAUCCGAAAGAUACAACUGCAUAUUAGUCGUUGUUGACAAGUUCUCCAAACACAGUCACUUUAUUCCUCUGACUAAUCCAUUCUCGGCGUCUCAAGUAUCUAGCACCUAUAUUGAUCAAGUCUACUGACUACAUGGCCUUCCUGACUCCAUUCUCUCUGACCGGGACCCCAUCUUCACGAGCUAGUUUUGGCAGGAACUCUUUCGACGAUCUGGUACAACAUUGAGGAUGAGCACACCCUACCACCCAGCUACAGACAACCAGAAGGAUUGCGUCAAUCAGUGUUUCCAGACAUUCUUACGCUACUUUGUCCACUCUUGCCCCAAGAAGUGGAGUUCAUGGUUGGCAUUGGCGGAGUAUUGGUUCAAUACCAGCUGGCACAACGCUCAUGGCAAGUCCCCCUUCUUUGUACUCUAUGACCAUGAUCCUCGGCAUUGGGGAAUCGAAGCAGUCGUCGACCUCAACACUUGGCUUUAUGAACAUGUGGAGAUGAUUGCUCUGAUCCGUCAACACUUGCUACGAGCACAAAUGCGUAUGAAGCAUCAGGCCGAUAAAGGGCGAUUUGAAAGAAUUUUUGCAGUUGGCGAUUCAGUCUACAUCAAGCUUCAACCUUAUGUGCAGAGUUCUGUCGCUCAGCGCACCUGCCAUAAAUUAUCUUUCUGCUACUUAGGCCCCUUCCUCAUCUAAGAACGCAUUGGUCAAGUUGCUUACAGAGUGGCCUUGCCGGAGACCUCUCAAAUUCAUCAGUUCUCGACAACCGUCAGAAGAUCAAAGCAAACUGUGUGGUGGAUCAAGUCUUGGUGCGUUGGUUAGGUGAUGGCCUUGAUCCCACCUAGGAGUACCGUGACGAGCUCCAAUCGCGUUUCCCCUGUGCAGCGGCUUGGGGUCAAGCCGCAACUCAAGGAGGGGAGGGUGUUAGCACCCCUGGCUCUAGUGGGCCACCGUCACAGCUAGCUGCCGGGCCCGACAACUCCAGAGCCCAAGGCCCAAUGAGAAGGAAUCGAAGGCCCAACCAUAGAGUGAUGGGAGGGCAGUGGGUGAACGCGGUCCGAGCCUAUAAGGAGGCGGCUAGUGAGAUAGACGGGGCAUCGAAGAUCGAUCAAAACGGCACGGCGGCAACGGCGGCUACCUAGGAUACUAAUUCCCCUCUCCUUAUCUUAAAUUCGGCACGGUUGUGCUUGUAAGGAGUGAAUUGUUGUAUCCUAUCCACCAUAUAAUCGUGAGACUAGCGCUGUUAACAUGGAACACAGCGCUCCCAGAUUUUUUGCCUGCCUUUGUACAUGUGUGGUCACCCUACUAUCAUUUUUCACUUCCACCACGUCACAUGCUAGAUGCUAAUGAGUUGAUGCUAGGCACCAACUACUAUGUACUGGUACUACUACGGCGUACCUACUAGCUAAACGUAACCCGGUUGGUAUUGCGAAAAUAAAUAAAUAAAUUGUUGACAUGUUGUUGCAAUCUGGAUGUCCUACAAGGCUUAGGCGGCGUUGUUGCAAAACACGACGCACCAUGCUGCAAGGCUAGUCGCCGUUGUUGCAAGUCUCACUGUUGUUGCUGCAAGUUGGAACACGUGACAAGCAAACUGUAGCA